AAGCUCUGUACCAGAACCCUCUGUCAGAAAUACAGGACAGGUAAAGUCAGAAAGAUAGGAACUUCCUGUAACGUGAUGUCACCUUCCGUACUUGACUGGAUUCAAUGCUGAUGGCAAAUCCCACAAGUCAUUACAAAAAAAAAAAAAAAGAGAGAGAAAUGGGUAAGAAAUAUGGACAUGUGGCAGUAAGAGGCCUGGAAACUCCUGAAGGGGCAUAUAAAAGACUAUGGAAGAUAUGCUACAUUAUUAUUAGUUAUUUGAUUUCUUACCUGCCCUUCACCAUAAGGUCUGAAGGCAGGUUAUGGCAAUUUAAAAAUACAGUACUAAAAGCGAAUUACAGCCCCAAGAAGGGACUCAUGGGUUUUCUGAGAUGGGGUAGAAAAGUCCUGUGGCAUUUUAGAGCCUAACAAUUAAUCCUAAACCCCUUAAAAGCCUCUGUUGCUUUGCUGCAACGGAUCAACAAAGCUACCCCACCCCCGACCUUGUAGUAGAGGUAAUAAAACUACAUUUCCCAUAAUGCCUUUCUUUACUCUUCAGCUCCACCUCCUUCCUUCCUGCCUUUUAUAAUCCAGUUUAUGCAAGGGGUCUAUAGCAGAGCUUCCAAGCUGACCGGCACUCUCCUUCCCAAAGCAUGGUCUGACUUAUAAUUGGUGUUUGCCGCUAUGUGGCUAGGAGAAUAGCAGCAUCGCUGCGCAACGAGGAUCUGGGGGAGCCUGUGUUGGCGUGCAAGAAUGGGGUGUGCCCGCUGGGCAAGCAAAAAAGCACAAUGCCGCCAUCUACUAGUUCCCCUGUCAGCCAAGGGGCAACCCCCCCUGCUGCCACAACAGAAGUUGGGAUCCAUAAGCCACAUUCUUGAUGGAAUAAAAUGAGGGAUGGCAGAAGGAGAAUGACGGUCCAUUUGACAACUCCUGUGCACGCAGGAAUCGAACGGACCUGAGCAUCCUUUAGCCUCCCCUCCACCUCACCAUUCCUCUGUUAAAUCUGCUUAAAUAAAAGAAGCACUUUGCGUGCUCUAAUACACCAA